GGGUUCCUAUGGAUACGCCCCGCCACCAGGAAGCACACCCUGGACGUGGCUGACUCACUAAGCUGCCGACUGCUGCAGCCUCUUCUGCAAGCCGGCUCACUUGAGCACACUGCAAUGCGGGCCUCACUCAGAAGAGUCAGAGGCCUGCAAUCACAUCACUAAAGAGGCCAUCAGGUGACUCAUCUUGAAGGCAGAUGGACUUGUGAAGAAGAUACAAGCUUAAGCUAUGUCUGCAUCGUCAACAGGACUUGGUGACCAUUUGUUUCAUCUGUGCCUGUACUGUUCAAGAAGGCAGGGGUUUCCCCUCAUCAAACUAAAUCUAAGAUUCCAUUGUUUUCAAGACUCACUGUCAACUUUACUACAAUAGAAAAAGUACUGCCAAUCAAAUUAUAACAAAAGGCUUCCCAAACACACUGGGCAAUAAAGACAACCAAUUACAGAGA